CAUAAAUAUUUUAUUACAGAUUUUAUUACGAUUUUAAUAUAUAUUUUUUUUUCUAGCCAAAGUCUAUAGAAAACCUUCGGGGAUGAGUGUCUUACUUUACAAAGAUAAUACUUACAGUAAACAGAAAUUAAGCAGUAUCCAUGGCCAUCGUUAUAGAUGCUCGAGAUACGCGACCACUAAAUGUAAGGCCUACCUUCAUGCGACGGAGGAUAUGAAACCAAAGUCUAUAAAAAGCCUUCGGGGACGAGUGUCUUACUCUACAAAGAUAAUACUUUCAGUAAACACAGAUUCAGCAGUACCACUGGGCAACGUUAUAGAUGCUCGAGUUACUCGACCACUAAAUGUAAGGCCUACCUUCAUACGACGGAGGAUAUGAAAGUAGGUAAAAAAUGUAUGGAUCAUAACCACGCGCCACCGAAAUUCCUUAUACAUAAUGAUGUAAUUCAUAAGUAUUGAAUAUUAGAUGUAGUACGUGUACAGGUUUUAUUACCUCUAGAAUAAGUUUUUUUGGUCUCAUAAGAAUAAACAAGUUGUAAACAA